rnacentral:rRNA from 1 species
GAUGAACGCUAGCGGCAGGCUUAAUACAUGCAAGUCGAGGGGCAGCACGGGUAGCAAUACCUGGUGGCGACCGGCAAACGGGUGCGGAACACGUACGCAACCUUCCCAUAACUGGUGAAUAGCCCUCCGAAAGGAGGAUUAAUACACCGUAACUUAACGAAGUGGCAUCACUUUGUUAAUAUAGGCUUCGGCCGGUUUUGGAUGGGCGUGCGCCUGAUUAGGUAGUUGGCGGGGUAACGGCCCACCAAGCCUACGAUCAGUAACUGGUGUGAGAGCACGACCAGUCACACGGGCACUGAGACACGGGCCCGACUCCUACGGGAGGCAGCAGUAAGGAAUAUUGGUCAAUGGACGAAAGUCUGAACCAGCCAUGCCGCGUGAAGGAUUAAGGCCCUCUGGGUUGUAAACUUCUUUUAUCUGGGACGAAAAAAGGGUAUUCUUACUCACUUGACGGUACCAGAGGAAUAAGCACCGGCUAACUCCGUGCCAGCAGCCGCGGUAAUGUCUGUACU